CAGGACAGAGAGGAGGGAGUCCCUCCCUCUAAAACCACUCAGAGGAACCAGCCUGGACCUGGACCUGGACCUGGACCCAGCUGUGUCUCCAUGAAGAGCGACUGGCCUAUGGAGAAACAUCCUGAGUUCAGGUCAGACCAGCAGAAUCGACCUGGACCUGGACCAGGACGUGGACCUGGACCUGAGCCCAGCUGUUUGUCCUUUAAGAGCGACCGGUCGAAGGAUCAUCCUCUUUAUUUUAAAUCAGAGCCACAGAGAGUGGACCAGCAGAGCUCAGAGCUUCCCAGUGGUCAGUCUG